rnacentral:rRNA from 1 species
AAUGGACGGAAGUCUGAACCAGCCAUCCCGCGUGCAGGAUGACUGCCCUAUGGGUUGUAAACUGCUUUUAGCAGAGACGAAACGCCUUUAUUUAUGAGGGUCUGACGGUAUCUGCAGAAUAAGCACCGGCUAACUCCGUGCCAGCAGCCGCGGUAAUACGGAGGGUGCAAGCGUUAUCCGGAAUCACUGGGUUUAAAGGGUGCGUAGGCGGAUAUUUAAGUCAGUGGUGAAAUCUUGUCGCUUAACGAUAAAAUUGCCAUUGAUACUGAAUGUCUUGAAUUGGGUUGAGGUUAGCGGAAUGUGACAUGUAGCGGUGAAAUGCAUAGAUAUGUCAUGGAACACCAAUUGCGAAGGCAGCUAGCUGGGCCUUGAUUGACGCUGAGGCACGAAAGCGUGGGUAGCGAA